AUACUUACCUGGCAGGGGAGAUAUCAUGAUGACAAAGGUGGUUUUCCCAGGGUGAGGUUUAUUCAUUGUCCUCUGGAUGUUCUGACCCCUGUUAUUUCCCAAAUAUAGGAAACUCAACUGCAUAAUUUGUGGUAGCCAGGAACUGC
rnacentral:snRNA from 1 species